CCUACGGGUGGCAGCAGUGGGGAAUAUUGGACAAUGGGCGAAAGCCUGAUCCAGCCAUGCCGCGUGUGUGAAGAAGGCCUUCGGGUUGUAAAGCACUUUCAGUGGGGAAGAAAGCCUUGGGGCUAAUACCCUCGAGGAAGGACAUCACCCACAGAAGAAGCACCGGCUAACUCCGUGCCAGCAGCCGCGGUAAUACGGAGGGUGCGAGCGUUAAUCGGAAUUACUGGGCGUAAAGCGCGCGUAGGCGGUCUGAUAAGCCGGUUGUGAAAGCCCCGGGCUCAACCUGGGAACGGCAUCCGGAACUGUCAGGCUAGAGUGCAGUAGAGGAAGGUAGAAUUCCCGGUGUAGCGGUGAAAUGCGUAGAGAUCGGGAGGAAUACCAGUGGCGAAGGCGGCCUUCUGGACUGACACUGACGCUGAGGUGCGAAAGCGUGGGUAGCAAACAGGAUUAGAUACCCGAGUAGUC
rnacentral:rRNA from 1 species